rnacentral:tRNA from 1 species
AGCUCAGGUGGUUAGAGCGUUGGAUUCAUAACCCAAAGGUCACGGGUUCAAGUCCCGUC